AAGUCGUAACAAGGUUUCCGUAGGUGAACCUGCGGAAGGAUCAUUAAUACGUCUAAACAACGUCUUAAACCUUACAAAUUUGUGGAAAUUCUUACCAUUCCGGGUGCAUUUUAUUGGCACGAGAAGGGACUUCUUGUGGUCUUCGGACAUGAGACACUUCAGUGUAGAGCAGUGAGGUGAAAUCGGAGCUUUUGACGGCUUGGAUUUGGUUCUGGAUCACGACUCUCUGAGUUAAAUUGCCAAAUGCAUUCGGUUAUUUCUGUUCUACAUUUUUUUAUUCUAUCAAACUUAUAAACCCCAUGUACAACAACUUGAACUAAACAUAUCUUCUGAUCACAUUGACUUGUGUGAUGAAGAACAAAUCUGAAAUUAAGAACAACUCUUAACAACGGAUAUCUUGGUUCUC
rnacentral:misc_RNA from 1 species